rnacentral:piRNA from 1 species
UGAUGACUGAACCCCCGAGCCAGUC